CCUACGGGUGGCUGCAGUGGGGAAUAUUGGACAAUGGGCGAAAGCCUGAUCCAGCCAUGCCGCGUGUGUGAAGAAGGCCUUCGGGUUGUAAAGCACUUUCAGUGGGGAAGAAAGCCUUGGGGCUAAUACCCUCGAGGAAGGACAUCACCCACAGAAGAAGCACCGGCUAACUCCGUGCCAGCAGCCGCGGUAAUACGGAGGGUGCGAGCGUUAAUCGGAAUUACUGGGCGUAAAGCGCGCGUAGGCGGUCUGAUAAGCCGGUUGUGAAAGCCCCGGGCUCAACCUGGGAACGGCAUCCGGAACUGUCAGGCUAGAGUGCAGGAGAGGAAGGUAGAAUUCCCGGUGUAGCGGUGAAAUGCGUAGAGAUCGGGAGGAAUACCAGUGGCGAAGGCGGCCUUCUGGACUGACACUGACGCUGAGGUGCGAAAGCGUGGGUAGCAAACAGGAUUAGGUACCCCGGUAGU
rnacentral:rRNA from 1 species